GAUGAACGCUGGCGGCGUGCCUAAUACAUGCAAGUCGAGCGAACGGACGAGAAGCUUGCUUCUCUGAUGUUAGCGGCGGACGGGUGAGUAACACGUGGAUAACCUACCUAUAAGACUGGGAUCACUUCGGGAAACCGGAGCUAGUACCGGAUAAUAUUUUGAACCGCAUGGUUCAAAAGUGAAAGACGUUCUUGCUGUCACUUAUAGAUGGAUCCGCGCUGCAUUAGCUAGUUGGUAAGGUAACGGCUUACCAAGGCAACGAUGCAUAGCCGACCUGAGAGGGUGAUCAGCCACACUGGAACUGAGACACGGUCCAGACUCCUACGGGAGGCAGCAGUAGGGAAUCUUCCGCAAUGGGCGAAAGCCUGAUGGAGCAACGCCGCGUGAGUGAUGAAGGUCUUCGGAUCGUAAAGCUCUGUUAGUAGGGAGGAACAUAAGUGUAAGUAACCGUGCACAUCUUGACGGUACCUAAUGAAAAAGCCACGGCUAACUACGUG
rnacentral:rRNA from 1 species